rnacentral:rRNA from 1 species
AUUGAACGCUGGCGGCAGGCCUAACACAUGCAAGUCGAGCGGAUGAAGGGAGCUUGCUCCUGGAUUCAGCGGCGGACGGGUGAGUAAUGCCUAGGAAUCUGCCUGGUAGUGGGGGAUAACGUCCGGAAACGGGCGCUAAUACCGCAUACGUCCUGAGGGAGAAAGUGGGGGAUCUUCGGACCUCACGCUAUCAGAUGAGCCUAGGUCGGAUUAGCUAGUUGGUGGGGUAAAGGCCUACCAAGGCGACGAUCCGUAACUGGUCUGAGAGGAUGAUCAGUCACACUGGAACUGAGACACGGUCCAGACUCCUACGGGAGGCAGCAGUGGGGAAUAUUGGACACUGGGCGCAAGCCUGAUCCAGCCAUGCCGCGUGUGUGAAGACGGUCUUCGGAUUGUAAAGCACUUUAAGUUGGGAGGAAGGGCAGUAAGUUAAUACCUUGCUGUUUUGACGUUACCAACAGAAUAAGCACCGGCUAACUUCGUG